rnacentral:rRNA from 1 species
UACGUAGGGUGCAAGCGUUAUCCGGAAUUAUUGGGCGUAAAGAGCUCGUAGGCGGUUUGUCGCGUCUGCUGUGAAACUGGGGGCUCAACCCCCAGCCUGGCAGUGGGUACGGGCAGACUAGAGUGCGGUAGGGGAGAUUGGAAUCCUGGUGUAGCGGUGGAAUGCGCAGAUAUCAGGAAGAACACCAACGGCGAAGGCAGCUCGCUGGGACGGUACUGACGCUGAGACGCGAAAGCGUGGGGAGCGAACAGG